UACGAGGGGGGCAAGUGUUGUUCGGAAUUACUGGGCGUAAAGCGCGCGUAGGCGGACCUGCAAGUCGGGGGUGAAAGCCCGAGGCUCAACCUCGGAACUGCCUUCGAUACUGCGGGUCUCGAGUCCGGGAGAGGUGAGUGGAAUUCCUAGUGUAGAGGUGAAAUUCGUAGAUAUUAGGAAGAACACCAGUGGCGAAGGCGGCUCACUGGCCCGGUACUGACGCUGAGGCGCGAAAGCGUGGGGAGCAAACAGG
rnacentral:rRNA from 1 species